GGAUGUGAGGGCGAUCUGGCUGCGACAUCUGUCACCCCAUUGAUCGCCAGGGUUGAUUCGGCUGAUCUGGCUGGCUAGGCGGGUGUCCCCUUCCUCCCUCACCGCUCCAUGUGCGUCCCUCCCGAAGCUGCGCGCUCGGUCGAAGAGGACGACCAUCCCCGAUAGAGGAGGACCGUUCUUCGGUCAAGGGUAUACGAGUAGCUGCGCUCCCCUGCUAGAACCUCCAAACAAGCUCUCAAGAAUCCACACAGCUAUGCUCACCUUAUUUUUUACAAAGGUGCCAAAAAUAUAUGAUGC
rnacentral:snRNA from 1 species